rnacentral:rRNA from 1 species
GACGAACGGCUGGCGGCGUGGAUUAGGCAUGCAAGUCGAACGGUAUCAUCCUUUCGGGGGUGAGAGAGUGGCGAACGUGGUGAGUAACACGUAGGUUAUCUACCCUCAAGACGGGGACAACCCAGGGAAACUUGGGCUAAUACCGGAUGUGAGCAACUUUUAGUUGUUUGAAAGGUGGCGUAAGCUGUCGCUUGGGGAUGAGCCUGCGUCCUAUUAGUUAGUUGGUGAGGUAACGGCUCACCUAGGCAAUGAUAGGUAGGCGGCCUUAACGGGUGGUCGCCCACACUGGGAUUGAGAUACGGCCCAGACUCCUACGGGAGGCAGCAGUCGAGAAUAGUCUACAAUGGUCGGAAGACUGAUAGUGCGACGCCGCGUGAACGAUGAAUCCCUUCGGGGUGUAAAGUUCUUUUAUAUGUGAGCAGUGCUUCUUAUAUUAACAGUAUGGGGAGAGAGAUAUUAGCAUAUGAAUAAGCAACGGCUAACUCCGUG